CCUUUGGAGCUCUGAAUUUUAAAUAUCAAUCAAUGAGAAAAUAGGACUCACCUAAAACACAUGGUUUUGUUUCUGACCACCUGUAUUUUAUGAGUGCUUGUCAAAAUGCAGUUUUUGAUGGCCCCUGAACGAUUCUGGGCCUCAUCUCCCAGUCUGCACUUGGGGAUUCGGCACUUGAUAAUCUGCUACGGUGUGAAAUGGAGAUGGGCAGGGAGACGCAGCAGCCUCGGAACGACACCCAUGCCAGAAACUCCGCGAAGUGCUCAGCUGAAGAACACUUGCUCUUGAAAAGAUACCUGAGGGUCAUCUGCAUAAGAUGAUGAAGUAUGAAGUGUAGCAGCUGAUUGAUGGGAACCAAGGGAGAGAACUUCUGCCUCAGCCCCUCUGCUUCAUCUCCACCCUGGGAUCAGGGCCUGCAAAUGCCCCUGCUGGACUCCCCGCUCCCUCUGCCAGCCUCUCUGAAUCCUACCCUCCUGCCAAAGUGAGUCCCCCCAUGUGGGCACUGUGCUGCACCAUCCAGGUCCCCUGCAGCCCUGAAGGAGUAGGGUGCCCCCGUGCUGGGAGUACAGGCUGCAGACACAAGGACCCUCAGCUGUCAGCCCUCUCUGGAGAUCCCCUCUACUGAAGAAAAGAAAAUGCCUUGGCCGAAGCCAAGAUCUUCAGCUGUUUAAAGCAUCCCUCUGGCUACAGUGAAGAGAAUGAAUUCACCACAUGCAUCGCCUGCUGUUGGGCACAUGUUAACCCUUCGGCCUGAUAGUUUUAACCUGUAGUUGUGCGAGAUAACGUGUCUGCUGCUUGAGGUUGGAACCCAGCCCUUGGACUAUUUGGAUCCUUGCAUGGCCUUGCACUGAGUAGGUGCUCAAUAAAU